GUGCUCACUUUGGCAACACAUAUUCUAAAACUGGAACAAUACAGAGAUUAGCAUGGCCCCUGCUCAAGGAUGACAGGCAAGUUUUGUGAAGCAUUCUAUAUUUAA
rfam:Tupaia chinensis contig239590, whole genome shotgun sequence.